GCUAGCCUAUACAGUGUACAUACCGUGUUAAAUUGAAAAUUGUCGUCGUAUAUUAUAUAUGGUGAAACCGAUCCAAACGGUAAUUCUGAAGUUUUUAAUUCCAUUGAACUAUUGAUUGGUUGUAUGAAAAAAAAAACCUUUUUUAUUAAUUUGUUAAAUUUAUAUGUACCGUUACAAGUCUACUUAAUGUUGUAUUGAAAUUCUUUAAAAUAAC